AAAACGGAGAGUUUGAUCCUGGCUCAGGAUGAACGCUGGCGGUAUGCUUAACACAUGCAAGUCGAACGGGGGUAGAAAUACCCUAGUGGCGGACGGGUGAGUAACGCGUGAGAAUCUAGCUUCAGGUCGGGGAUAACAGAGGGAAACCGCUGCUAAUACCGGAUGAACCUACGGGUAAAAGAU
rnacentral:rRNA from 1 species